AUCUGUCAAAAGAAAAUUCAUCGUACAUACACAAAAUAAAUUCCUAAUGGGCUUUCAAGCAAAUUAAUACAAACAGGAAGAUGAACGGGCUGGUGAUUAAGAUCUGGCAGACAUCAGUGUUUGUUCUACUCGUGUUUGCUGCUUUCAUGUCAAUUAGAGCCCUUUGGAGAGCUACCAGAACCGCCAGGAUCCCUUGUCACGAUAGCUGCUAGAAUCGUGAACAGUCUUGUUCUGCUAGGUGCAUAGUUUAUACGAAUGGAAGCGUGCACUAAGGUGACAAAGCUAAGAAACGAAAUGGAAUAUAAAAGCGUUAUGUUGGGUGGCCUUAUUUACAUUCUGUUAGUUGGAAUAUUGAUAAUAAUAAAUGAAGCAUUCUGCAAAUCUAUUUGCUUGAAAAACGCUCAGCGAGCUGCCAAUCAAGCAAUGCCAGACAUAGAUUUAAAUGAACGGAAGCCUUCAAAAUCCAGACCGAUGUAAAAUAUAGUGUUGAAAGACAUACUAGAUGGCGCUGUACUAAAUAGUGAAAUAAAACGGCAA